CUGUCUCCAGGCCCUUUGCCCUUAGUGACUGCAGAGAGAAGCCAUGAUUGCUUAAAUUGGUGAGCCAGCAGGCACUUGAGUGUCUGCAUAUUCCGGGAAUACAGCGAGGGAGUCCGUUAUUUAUGGAAAGCCUUGUGAGAAUGCUGGAGUCUUGGAAGAACUUCACAGAGUAGGAAUGUGCAGCGCAGGCCUGCCAGUCAUGUUCACAGUCGCUGGGAAUGCCUGCACUCAGGAUGCUGGCUUAUGAGCUGCAGGAGUGGUGUCACUGGUGUGUAGCAUCCCUGCUGAGGGCAAAUGCCCUAUGAUCAUCUACUUGCCUAAGGUCCCAUUGCCUUAAAUGUCUCUGAAAAGAUGCCUUGCAUUUCCUGGUGUUGGGACGACUGAGUAGAAGUUAUAAGAAACUGACUCCUGGGACUGAUCCACAAACGAGAGCCCUCAUCCAGUGGCUGAUGGAAGCAGAGACAGACAUCCACAGAUAUACAAUGAGCUGAAAUCUGGAAUCUAGUUGAAGAGAGGGAGGAAUGAAGAGCGAAGGGGUCUGUACCAGGUUGGAGAAAUCCACAGGAACAGUUGGCCUGAACAAGGGAGAGCACAUCGACCCCAGAUGCUGUCGGGGAGGCCAGUACAAGACUGAUCCAGACCCCUGAACAUGGAUGUCAAUAAGGAGGCCUCUGCACUCCAGGGAGCCUCUGGUAGUGGAUUAGUAUUUUUCCUUGGUGCAAGAAGGGACUUUGAGAGCCCAUCCCACAUGAAGGGAUACACUCUGGCCCUGGACACAUGGGGAAGGGCCCAGGCCCAGUCUGCCACCACAGGGCCCUGAGUGCAUGAUGCAACCAGCCUUUGAGUCUCAAAUCUCUGUAAAGUUCCUGCUUGCAGAUUGUGGCCUUUGCCCAGAAUAUCACCAUAGAGACCAUCUUUAUUGUACCACUCGACCUUCCAUGGUGUCUAAGGGACACAAAUGACGCAGGGGGCUUGUUCUGGAGCCCAGCCUUGUCCUUGCAGGUUCUGCC
rnacentral:lncRNA from 1 species